CUAAGUAAUCUAAAUACCCUUCUUAAACGUUUCAAAACCUAGCUUUUCUUCUACUUCAAUUGCAACUGCAAAAAUCCCUCUUCAAUCUUAUUCGUUUGAUCCGAUUCCUUGCUCCUUUUCCAAUCUCAUUCCAGUACAUUACAAUCAGAUUGUAAUCCUCAAACAAGUAAAGUAUCUUUUUUAGUUUCCCUUUCGAUCUGGGCUGUCGUAGGAAGAAUUGAGCCGCAGUAAACUGGAGUUUUCUUUGAGGCUAUUUGCUUGUUAAUUGGGGUUGAAGAUGUUUCACCGGACAAACAAGCUGAUUUUCUUUCGGCAUUGCUUAAUCCCCUUUGCCAGCAGGUGGAGGUGUUGCUGCAAAAUGCCAAACUUCACGAUUCUGAAGAAUCUCCUGCAAAGAUUGCUAACAUUCAGCAAAUCAUCAUGGCGAUUAAUGCCCUGAGCAAGGUGCACUUUUG